UGGGGAAUAUUGCACAAUGGGGGAAACCCUGAUGCAGCGACGCCGCGUGAGUGAAGAAGUCAUUCGUGAUGUAAAGCUCUAUCAGCAGGGAAGAAGAAGACGGUACCUGAGUAAGAAGCCCCGGCUAACUACGUGCCAGCAGCCGCGGUAAUACGUAGGGGGCAAGCGUUAUCCGGAUUUACUGGGUGUAAAGGGAGCGUAGACGGCGAGACAAGUCUGAAGUGAAAGCCCGCGGCUUAACUGCGGGACUGCUUUGGAAACUGCCUGGCUAGAGUGCAGGAGAGGUAAGCGGAAUUCCUAGUGUAGCGGUGAAAUGCGUAGAUAUUAGGAGGAACACCAGUGGCGAAGGCGGCUUACUGGACUGUAACUGACGUUGAGGCUCGAAAGCGUGGGGAGCAAACA
rnacentral:rRNA from 1 species